UUGGAGGGCAAGUCUGGUGCCAGCAGCCGCGGUAAUUCCAGCUCCAAUAGCGUAUAUUAAAGUUGCUGCAGUUAAAAAGCUCGUAGUUGAAUUUCGGGACCAAUAUGUCGGUCGUGCUUUUGUACGUACUGAUAUAAUUGGUUUCUCCCUUCUGAAGAACCUUGAUGUCAUUAAUUUGGUGUCUUGGGGAAUCAGGACUGUUACUUUGAAAAAAUUAGAGUGUUUAAAGCAGGCUCGCGCUUGAAUACAUUAGCAUGGAAUAAUAAAAUAGGACGUUUGAUUCUAUUUUGUUGGUUUCUAGGAUCGACGUAAUGAUUAAUAGGGAUAGUUGGGGGCAUUAGUAUUCAAUUGUCAGAGGUGAAAUUCUUGGAUUUAUUGAAGACUAACUACUGCGAAAGCAUUUGCCAAGGAUGUUUUCAUUAAUCAAGAACGAAAGUUAGGGGAUCGAAGACGAUCAGAUACCGUCGUAGUCUUAACCAUAAACUAUGCCGACUAGGGAUCGGAUGAUGUUAAUUUUUUAAUGACUCAUUCGGCGCCUUACGGGAAAC
rnacentral:rRNA from 1 species